AAGCGUUGUCCGGGAAUUAUUGGGCGUAAAGAGCUCGUAGGCGGUUUGUCGCGUCUGCUGUGAAAACUCGAGGCUCAACCUCGGGCUUGCAGUGGGUACGGGCAGACUAGAGUGCGGUAGGGGAGACUGGAAUUCCUGGUGUAGCGGUGGAAUGCGCAGAUAUCAGGAGGAACACCGAUGGCGAAGGCAGGUCUCUGGGCCGCAACUGACGCUGAGGAGCGAAAGCAUGGGGAGCGAACAGGAUUAGAUACCCUGGUAGUCCAUGCCGUAAACGUUGGGCACUAGGUGUGGGGCUCAUUCCACGAGUUCCGUGCCGCAGCAAACGCAUUAAGUGCCCCGCCUGGGGAGUACGGCCGCAAGGCUAAAACUCAAAGAAAUUGACGGGGGCCCGCACAAGCGGCGGAGCAUGCGGAUUAAUUCGAUGCAACGCGAAGAACCUUACCAAGGCUUGACAUACACCGGAAACUUCCAGAGAUGGUUGCCCCGCAAGGUCGGUGUACAGGUGGUGCAUGGUUGUCGUCAGCUCGUGUCGUGAGAUGUUGGGUUAAGUCCCGCAACGAGCGCAACCCUCGUCCUAUGUUGCCAGCGGGUCAUGCCGGGGACUCAUAGGAGACUGCCGGGGUCAACUCGGAGGAAGGUGGGGAUGACGUCAAAUCAUCAUGCCCCUUAUGUCUUGGGCUUCACGCAUGCUACAAUGGCCGGUACAAAGGGCUGCGAUACCGCGAGGUGGAGCGAAUCCCAAAAAGCCGGUCUCAGUUCGGAUUGGGGUCUGCAACUCGACCCCAUGAAGUCGGAGUCGCUAGUAAUCGCAGAUCAGCAACGCUGCGGUGAAUACGUUCCCGGGCCUUGUACACACCGCCCGUCAAGUCACGAAAGUCGGUAACACCCGAAGCCGGUGGCCCAACUCGUAAGAGGGGGAGCCGUCGA
rnacentral:rRNA from 1 species